rnacentral:rRNA from 1 species
CUCAGSACGAACGCUGGCGGCGUGCCUAAUACAUGCAAGUCGAGCGGACAGAAGGGAGCUUGCUCCCGGAUGUUAGCGGCGGACGGGUGAGUAACACGUGGGUAACCUGCCUGUAAGACUGGGAUAACUCCGGGAAACCGGAGCUAAUACCGGAUAGUUCCUUGAACCGCAUGGUUCAAGGAUGAAAGACGGUUUCGGCUGUCACUUACAGAUGGACCCGCGGCGCAUUAGCUAGUUGGUGGGGUAAUGGCUCACCAAGGCGACGAUGCGUAGCCGACCUGAGAGGGUGAUCGGCCACACUGGGACUGAGACACGGCCCAGACUCCUACGGGAGGCAGCAGUAGGGAAUCUUCCGCAAUGGACGAAAGUCUGACGGAGCAACGCCGCGUGAGUGAUGAAGGUUUUCGGAUCGUAAAGCUCUGUUGUUAGGGAAGAACAAGUGCGAGAGUAACUGCUCGCACCUUGACGGUACCUAACCAGAAAGCCACGGCUAACUACGUGCCAGCAGCCGCGGUAAUACGUAGGUGGCAAGCGUUGUCCGGAAUUAUUGGGCGUAAAGGGCUCGCAGGCGGUUUCUUAAGUCUGAUGUGAAAGCCCCCGGCUCAACCGGGGAGGGUCAUUGGAAACUGGGAAACUUGAGUGCAGAAGAGGAGAGUGGAAUUCCACGUGUAGCGGUGAAAUGCGUAGAGAUGUGGAGGAACACCAGUGGCGAAGGMGACUCUCUGGUCUGUAACUGACGCUGAGGAGCGAA